UUUGUCUUUAUGGCAAAUGUGAGAUGCAGUGUAUGGAAUGUCAAAUUUCUAGUAUGAGAAAUUAACGAUUUAAGUCCUUCUUAAAUGAGGCCAUUUACCCAAAGAGGGUGCCAGGCCCGUAUAACGUUAAUGAUUACUAGAUGGCAUUUCCAAAGAGUCGUGUUGCUUGAUAGUGCAGCACUAAGUGGGUGGUAAACUCCAUCUAAAACUAAAUAUAACCAUGAGACCGAUAGUAAACAAGUACCGUGAGGGAAAGUUGAAAAGAACUCUGAAUAGAGAGUUAAAUAGUACGUGAAACUGCUUAGAGGUUAAGCCCGAUGAACCUGAAUAUCCAUUAUAGAAAAUUCAUCAUUAUGAUUUUAAUAUUAAUAAUAUUAUAAUAAUGGUGUGCAUUUUUUCUAUAACGGACAUUGUAAUCUAUUAACAUAAAUAUAUUUAUCAUAAGAUCAAUGAUGCGUAAGUUUAUUCAAAUUAUUUUGCUUGCAAUUUAACAUAGAAUAAAUGCUCUUGAUUUGAUAAAGUGUUGAUAGAUUUAUUAUAUAUAGUGCUUAAAUAUUUAUAUUUUAUAAUGGCAUAUUAAUCAUUGAUUUUUAUGUUUAUUAUAUGCACUUAUAUGAUUAACAAUGCGAAAGAUUCAGGAUACCUUCGGGACCCGUCUUGAAACACGGACCAAGGAGUCUAACAUAUUUGCAAGUUAUUGGGUGUCAAAACCUAAUAGCGAAAUUAACAUAACUUUAAUGGGAUUAGUUUUUAGAUUAUUUAUAGUCUAUUAAUUCAAUCCCGGGGCGUUCUAUAUAGUUAUGUAUAAUAGUAUUUAUAUUAUUUAUACCUCUAACUAGAGCGUACCUUGAGCAUAUAUGUUGUGACCCGAAAGAUGGUGAACUAUACUUGAUCAGGUUGAAGUCAGGGGAAACCCUGAUGGAAGACCGAAACAGUUCUGACGUGCAAAUCGAUUGUCAGAAUUGAGUAUAGGGGCGAAAGACCAAUCGA
rnacentral:rRNA from 1 species